GGGAUAGGACAGGGCUGGAUUUGGGAUGGGACAGGGCUGGAUUUGGGAUAGGAGAGGGCUGGAUUUGGGAUGGGGAAAAGGCUGGAUUUGGGAUAGGACAGGGCUGGAUUUGGGAUGGGACAGGGCUGGAUUUGGGAUGGGACAGGGCAGGAUUUGGGAUAGGACAGGGCUGGAUUUGGGAUGGGGAAAAGGCUGGAUUUGGGAUAGGACAGGGCUGGAUUUGGGAUGGGACAGGGCUGGAUUUGGGAUGGGAAAAAAGGCUGGAUUUGGGAUGGGAAAAAAGGCUGGAUUUGGGAUAGGACAGGGCUGGAUUUAAUCCAGUUUAUCCCGAGAUCCUGACGGUGUUUGGAUUUUCCUGGGAUCAGUUCCGUGCUCCAGCAGCCCCUGGCGGUUUUUCCAAGCGGGACCCGGGGGCUCGGAUGCCUCUGGAAUGUGGGAAUUGUGCCUGGAUCUGCUCCUGACAUUCCCAUGGCAACCUGGUCCCAGGGGGAUUCAUUGUGGAGGGAAUGAAAGGAUGGAGGCUGGAGAAGACAUUCCCGGCGUGUUCCUGACGGGCCGGAAUUCCGGAGCGCAUCCCGGAUCGCUCCGGAACCAUGGGAGUGGCGGCGGACGCGGAGUGGCUGCGCUGGGUGAGCAAGAAAUUUGGGAAUGUCGCUGGGAAGGAGAAGGAAAUCAGCCUGGAAGAGUUCAAAUCCGCGCUGCAGGUCAAGGAGUCCUUCUUUGCCGAGAGGUUUUUUGCGCUCUUCGAUUCCGACGGGAGCGGCUCCCUGAGCCGGGAGGAGCUGCUGGGAUCCCUGAGCCGGCUGCUCCGUGGGAAUUCCACGGAAAAGCUCCAGUUCCUCUUCCAGGUGUAUGAUGUGGACGGUGAGAGGAGAAAAAUGGGAUUCGUUGGGGUUUUUUGGGAUAACUUUGGGGUUUGGUCUUCUCUGACCAUCUGGCUGUGGCUGGGAUGAGGCUGCUGCCCUCGUUCCAUGUGGGAAUGGGAAAAUUCCAGUGGGAAGCCAAGGAUUCCAUCGGUCACAACUGAGGAUUUCCCAUCAGCCAGGGAGAGCAGGAUCUGCUCCGCUCCAAUCCCAACUCCCCAUCCCGCUUUCCUGAAAUUCUGGGAUCGUUUGGCUUGGAAAAGCCCUCAGAGAUUGAAUCCAACGGUUCCCACCCCCAAGUCCCCUUCCAAUGGCUCCCUUUCCAUGAAGGAAUAUUCCCAAAUAUCCACCCUGAACCUCCCCUGGAUGCCAUUCCCAUUAUCCUGUCCCUGGUUCCGGGGAGCACAUCCUGACCCAUCCAGGACUUCCCACUGGAAAAUCUGUA
rnacentral:lncRNA from 1 species